UGAUUCUAUGGCAGUUUGUAGCCUCCACAUAGAAGCAGCAAAAACAGGAAGUGAUCUCAAUUCCAUAGGCUACUUCAGCUUCUGCCAGAAACCAAUGCCUUAGCCAUAACUAAAAGUGCAGAACUAGCUCUACUUCCUGUGAGUAAUCAAAACAGGAAAUAGACAUAUGAAAUGUGGGUGAUGGUCUCAUCAAAAAUCUCCAAUCUCUUAUGUCAAAGAGAAAUAUUCAGACCACCAACCUACUCUUCUCCUCGUGGGCUGUAGUCUCAUUGAUAAUAGGUGUCUUCAUGAAAGAAUGGGUUGAAUUAGUCCCCAAAAUAAAAAAGGUCAAGAUUAGCCACAGUCCAUGGAUGACAUGCUGCACUACCAUUUGGCCAGAAGAUAGCCUGAAAGUGGUCAGGAUCAUGAUGGUGUUGGUUCUCUGCCUUUCCUUCUUCCUUAACUUGAUCCUGGGUAUGCAAUACACCUAUGUGAUUCCUCAGAACAGAUAUAUACAGCUCAUCAUUGCCUUCAGCUGUUUCCUCACAGGUUGCCUUCUCCUUGGUACCUUAACACUAUAUCAUCACAAGCUAAAUCAAGGUCAGGGCUUGUACUUCUCUAGUUUCAAGAUCACGUGGGUUCCUUUCACUGCCUACUUAACCGCUGUCUUCUUUAUUACCUGCGGUUUUCUCUGUCUACUACAGUGCAAGCAACCCAUCCAUAGUUGUACCUGCCAGAAAAUUCACUCAUCUACUGAACAGUGUAUAGAUAAACAGCUCUGUGGGCAGUCUAUCCAAGUUAUUUCGCUUCCAGAGAGCACUGCAAUGCCGCGGGGCAUUGUCCGUCUAUCCUCCCAGCAAUCAAAGGAAGAUUCUGCGAACAAAGAACAUCUCCAAAAGCGUCAUGUGACCUGGGCUCUAUGACUGGACAAUCUACCUUCCAUGUGUGCCCAUCUUUAUGGACACAGCUUUCUGAGCAUGCGCCUUGCUGUGUGCAUCUCCAGCCAUUUGGUCUGGGUUCGGCAUUAUGGAAGUGACUGUGAGUGGGUUGGAGAUGCAAAGAGAUGUAGAAAGAAAUGCAGAAAACGGCUUUUUUUAAUCCUGGCAUGCUAAACAAAUAUCUUUUUCUACAGUAUUUGUUAUUGAUAUGAUAAAUAUAUAAAUACUACUUGCUGUAUUAUUAAUUCUGUAUAGAAAAAUAUUUAUAAUGGUACAGUAUUUUUUAUUUUUUGUGUAAUAUAUAUUUUCAUUAGCACAUGUUUGUGAUACCUAAUAAUUACACUUAUCUUGGGGAAUAUAUAUAUAUAUAUAUAUAUAUAUAUAUAUAUAUUUCACAUCUUGAUCAUUUUAUUACUCCCACUUUCCAUAGCCACUGCCCUCCCUCUCCCACCUUUCCCAGAUCUUUGCCGUCUCCACCAUCUACCUUCCUAUUUCCUACCAUUUCUUUUUUAUUUUGCUAUUUGAAUUAUUUAUAUUUUGAGUUUCUUAUAUUAGAGGAACUAUGCAA
rnacentral:lncRNA from 1 species